CGGGUGAGUAACGCGUGAGGAACCUACCUUCCAGAGGGGGACAACAGUUGGAAACGACUGCUAAUACCGCAUAAGCCCACGGCUCGGCAUCGAGCAGAGGGAAAAGGAGCAAUCCGCUUUGAGAUGGCCUCGCGUCCGAUUAGCUAGUUGGUGAGGUAACGGCCCACCAAGGCGACGAUCGGUAGCCGGACUGAGAGGUUGAACGGCCACAUUGGGACUGAGACACGGCCCAG
rnacentral:rRNA from 1 species